ACCGGCGGGAGGGGCCUGACUAAGGUCUCUCUCGUCCAGGUGCGCAGGCAGAGGUUACUUCCACUCUUAAUGGGCGUGUCGCGGGUUCGAGUCCCGCCGCCGGUA
rnacentral:tRNA from 1 species